UUACAAAGCCCUAGGGACGGUCCUGCUUCCUCCAGCUGAGCAGGAAGGAGCCCGGCCAGAGAGUAUUCCUGCAGUCGCUGACCGCGGCCACACCAUGUUGCUGUUGGAGUGGACGCCUCUCCUGUGACCACUGUCCACACGUCCAAGCCUGUCCCUGUGGCUUCCCGGUAGCAGGCCUCUAAGCCGCAGUGCAGACCACAGCCACGAGUUCUCUGUAGCUCCUGGUCCAGCAGCGCCUG
rnacentral:lncRNA from 1 species